rnacentral:rRNA from 1 species
GUGGGGAAUAUUGGGCAAUGGGCGAAAGCCUGACCCAGCAACGCCGCGUGAAGGAAGAAGGUUUUCGGAUCGUAAACUUCUAUCCUUGGUGAAGAUAAUGACGGUAGCCAAGAAGGAAGCCCCGGCUAACUACGUGCCAGCAGCCGCGGUAAUACGUAGGGGGCAAGCGUUGUCCGGAAUGAUUGGGCGUAAAGGGCGCGUAGGCGGCCCGGUAAGUCUGAAGUGAAAGUCCUGCUUUUAAGGUGGGAAUUGCUUUGGAUACUGUCGGGCUUGAGUGCAGGAGAGGUAAGCGGAAUUCCGUGUGUAGCGGUGAAAUGCGUAGAUAUACGGAGGAACACCAGUGGCGAAGGCGGAUUACUGGACGAUAACUGACGCUGAGGCGCGAAAGCGUGGGGAGCAAACAGGAUUAGAUACCCCUGUAGUCC